rnacentral:ncRNA from 2 species
GGACGAGCCUCUGGAGAGCCCCGGCGUGCAUCACCGUUUUCAGGACGGACUGCACCGGCCGGGCACCGAAGGCGAAAGGCGUUCCGUCAGGAACGCUGAAACGCUCAGGUAAAAGGACAGAGGAAGGACG